rnacentral:rRNA from 1 species
UACAGAGACUGCAAGCGUUAUUCGGAUUCACUGGGCGUAAAGGGUGCGCAGGCGGUUGGGUGUGUCAGAUGUGAAAUCCCGAGGCUUAACCUCGGAACUGCGUCUGAAACUACUCGACUAGAGUACUGGAGAGGGUAACGGAAUUCACGGUGUAGCAGUGAAAUGCGUAGAUAUCGUGAGGAACACCAGUGGCGAAGGCGGCGAUCUGGGUCGAUACUGACGCUGAGGUGCGAAAGCGUGGGGAGCAAACAGGAUUAGAUACCCUUGUAGU